rnacentral:lncRNA from 1 species
CGCUCACUCGGGACGUGCUUCAAGCUCCCUUCUUCCAGGUGUGAUUAGGCAAGCCUGGGACCAGAGACCAGAGUGGGAGUGUACUGGACCUGUGUAACAGAGGAAUACCCUACCCUAGGAGAGGGUGUUAAUCCCACAGGAGCAGAAGUUUCAAGACAUCAAAGGACUGAGACUAGCCAGAGACCUCCCUCCAUCUAAGACAGCUAAGCCAUGCUCCUGCCUCAAGUUCCUGCCUUGGCUUUUCUCAGUGAUGGACUGCAACCUAAUGUCUACAAAAGGAUUAAUCAGCUGCAGAGAGCAGAUGCAGAUGCCAAAAGGACUCUUCACUAGCAUAGGACCAAAGACGUUCAAGGUUCGGCAUGGCCAAUGUACAUCUCAGUGGCUGGGUAUUGACUGUGUCAAUUUGCAGUGGACUAAGUGUCUUGGCAAGAGAAAUUGUCCUCCAGCUGGAACCUGAGGACUGGAGCAGAGGUCCUUUGUCAGGCGAUGUUCCUGAAUGAGACUCAUGGCAAGUGACCAGGUGAUGGGUCAACACAACUGACACAUCUCAUUCUUGAGGUGCUUCCUCUUUUAUGGUCCCAGUGGAGGAGAUUCCAUCAGAUGUGAUUCAUAAGCUCCUGCUUUUUAUCCUCCUACUUCUCCUAUGUGAUUUGGUUUAUUCCCAAGCAUCAAUAUUUACUGACAUGAGUAAAUCAUUUGUGUUUCUUAGUGUGCUGG